rnacentral:rRNA from 1 species
GCGCACCUUCGGGUGAGCGGCGGACGGGUUAGUAACGCGUGGGAACGUGCCCUUCUCUAAGGAAUAGCCACUGGAAACGGUGAGUAAUACCUUAUACGCCCUUCGGGGGAAAGAUUUAUCGGAGAAGGAUCGGCCCGCGUUAGAUUAGAUAGUUGGUGGGGUAACGGCCUACCAAGUCUACGAUCUAUAGCUGGUUUUAGAGGAUGAUCAGCAACACUGGGACUGAGACACGGCCCAGACUCCUACGGGAGGCAGCAGUGGGGAAUCUUGGACAAUGGGCGCAAGCCUGAUCCAGCCAUGCCGCGUGAGUGAUGAAGG